GCGUCGAUGGUGCAACAGUUAGCGUAAGCUCCCCGAGAGAGUGAGAUCUGGUUUCGAAUCCCGGCUGAUGCA